rnacentral:lncRNA from 1 species
UUAAAAUAAAAUUUUAUUUAUUAAUUAAAAUCAGUUUACAAUAAAAUCAGUUUUACAAAACUAAACCAAAAUUAAAAAGUAAAGUAAACCAGAACAAAUUAAACCAUACACUAACUAAAACACAUUAAACCAAAACCUAAUUAACCUAAACCUAAGCAGCCGCCCACCACCUCGUCUCAUCUGCUACGACUUGCUUCCGCGUCUCGGCGCCUCCUUGUGCUUCAUGCCUCAGCCUCAAAUCACCUUUUUCUGAACCGCAUCUACCUCUGCCUCCGUGUCUGGUUUGUCACUACCACCAUCUCCACUGCAUCGUCUUCUUCCUCUGUCAUCUCCGUACCACCUCCGCUGUAUCUUCCUUCUUCACGACGUCGUCUCCUUUCACGCUUUCAUCUUCGUCACCAAACCGGAGGACAAGGCUUCGCGGAGAAGGCGGUCGGAGGAGGAGAACGGAGGAAGCUUCACGGAGAAAGGGUCAGGGAGGAGAAGGAGCCAUUCGGAUAGGAGGAGAGGAGGAGCGUAUAGGAGUGAUGUGUAUUUGGAUCUCCUGUGUAUUUGCAGAUUGAUGUGGAGAAGAAAGACUGUGGUGGUGAGUUCUCGAUGGAAAAGAAAGAAGAAGAUAAGAGUUGGCCAGUGAGAAAAGAAAAAGAAAUCAUAAAUGAAUGUUUGUGAACCAUUGGAUUAAAAAUCAAUGGUCAAAAAUAACAAUCCUUCUUGUGCAAGAUCUACCAAUGAGAAAAGAGUACAUAGAUAACACAAGAAUGAUUUUGGGCCUUUGGAUGAAACCAAUCAAUCAAUGGCCAAAAUAAUUCCAUGUUUUUAUGAUUAACCAAUAAAAUAAUUUACUUUCUUCAUUUAUUGAAGUUAAUAUUAUCAAUUGUAUAAAUAACUUCAUAUUUUAUGUUUAAGAUUUUGCUAUUAAUAAUUAUAUAUUUGAGAUUAAACUUUUUUUUAAAAAGUAAAGUCUAUAUUAAAGUAUGAGGUUUUAAAUUUAAAAAUAUUAUAUUUGAUGUUUUAAAUAAGAAUAUGUAGUUAAAAAUAUAUAAAAUAAAAUUUAUAAUUUAAAGAUUUUGAUUAUGAUUUAGAUUUCGGUGAUUUAGUUUAAAAAUUAAAGAAAGAUUAAAGUUCAAACUUAUGUUUAGAGUUUGGAGUUUAAGAAUAUGGUUAGUUUAAAGUUUAAUGGUUACUUAAAGUUUUAUGUGUAUAAGCUUAGGGUUUAGAGUUUGAAAUAUAGUAUUAGGAGUUAGUUUCGAAUAUACAAUUUAUGUUUUGGAGUUUAUAAUUAAUUAAAUUUAGUGUUAUGAUAUAAGGUUUGGAUUAUGGGGUUUGAGAUUUAGAGUGAAAUUUGAGGAUAAAUUUUAAAAAUUAGCCAGAUUUGUAAUUUAUGUGUUAAGUUUGGUGUUUAAGUUGGAAAAUAUUAGUUUUACUGUGUAUAUUUAUAUAUAAUUUAUGGUGAACUACAUAUAUAUUUGGGGUUUGAGGAAUAGGGUUUGGAGUUUAGAUAUAGGGUUUGGAAUUUAAAUUAUUAAUUUAGGGGUUAUAAAUGUUAAAGUGAAGUAUUAGAUAUGAAUGUUAAAACUUAGUUAUAAAGUUAAAGUUAUAAAACUAUAAAAUUUUAUAAAUUACAAAAUGUGUUUAAAAAGAGUUUAUGAUUUGGUAUAUAGUUUAAGUUUAGAGUUUUAGUGUUUGAAAUAUAAUGUUUGAAAAUAGCUUUUCUUAGCCUUAAAAUAAUGCUAUCAUAUGUUUUUGAUAUCAUUAUUGAAACCGCUUAAAUAAUGUUUUUGGCGCUUACGUAUAAUUUCUUUUUAAGUAUUGGUGGGAUCAAUAAUUUUAUUUUCCCGCUCACUUAAUUUUUAAAAUAACAUUAAUUAAAUGCUAUCUUAGGUUUCAUUCUAUAAUAGCGUUUAUUUAAUGCUAUUAUAGAAUACGGAAAUUUUAAACUCAUCUACAAUAACAGUUCAGUAAAACGUGCUAUAACAAUAUGCUAUCAAUGUGAACUUUUUUUGUAGUGGUAAUUUGCAGUCUAAUUUAUUAUUAGUUAAAUUAUAUUUAGAAAAAUAAUUAAUGAUGUUUUUGAUUGGAAAAUAUAAAAAAGUAAAUGUUUUCUUAACAUAGAAUAUAUGUGCAUAAUUUUAAAACGACAUCUAAUAAAAAGGGGAGGGAGCAAGAAACAAAAUAAAAUGUAACAAAGGAGAGCCACAAUGAAGAUACUUUGUUCUUUUAUUGUCCUAAACUACCAACAGAGGAGUGAUCAAGCUGGAUUAUUUAAGCUUCUUGGAAAUUAGGUGCACAUAUAAAUACUAUUAGGGAGAUAGAAAAAGUGGAAUACAUCUUUAAUAAAAAGGACUGCUUUAAUAAAAAGGUGAAAUUCUACAUUUUGUUUCCCUGCUUGCAUCCUUCAUCUGUACAAAGAAUAGCCAAUCUUGGGGAGAGUCAUAGACAACAAACAAAAGAGUCUCUUCGCACUCAAUUAGUGAAUGAAGACACAGAGCUAAGGCCGUGUCUCAUGGCUGCUUCCCACACCAGAUCAAUACGGUCAACGUCAAUGGCUCCAACCUCAUGAUGCUUCCAACCCUCCAGCAUAUGAACCACUCCUCCUGCAUGGCAUGCAUGAACCACCCCUCUCUCCAUUGUGUACUGCCGCAACACAACAAACACACACUUAAGAGUUUAGCCUAAUGGACUAAAAGGAUAAACACUCAAAUAAGACUUGAUUAGUAACCACGGUUCUUUAUACCUCGCAGGUUCCUAGUCCUUGAACAUCUUUAGGGAGCCUCAUAGCUGCUAGAUCACCAUAAGUGCAGUUCCUUCUAAAUUUUAGGAUUGGCGGCACUACAAACUGGUGGAAAUGAGUUCCUGCAGGAGCCCAGCUCUGUUCCCUUGGUGUUAACCAUUUCCCAACGAUCCAAGUCUGCAUGUACAUAGUUCAAACACCCCCAAAGUCAAUACAUUUACGUUAACACACCAAAUGAAAAACAGUUAGAACUCAGUACGCUACCUUGCAGUUUUGAGCAGCGUUGUAUUUGGUCACUUGUACGAGGUAGUUUUGGAACUCAGCAGGAGCUUCUUUCUGAAUCUUUUGGAAUCUCUCUAUCGACAUAGUCAACAUCUGUCAAUUAUUUAAACAUCUAUCAGACUUUGAGACAAUAUAGAUCGUUAAGUAUUAGUAAGAAAACUUACGAGAACUCUCACUCCACGACGACAGAGGUAAAGAGCGAUGGCUCUUCCCAGCUUAGAAGUGGCUCCUGUCAAGAACACUUCUUUCACAUCUUUUGGAAUUUCAUUGAGAAUCACUGCUGCGGUUAAAGUGUUCCCAUGAACCACACGAACUCUAAGGUCAGGAUGCUUGUUCACAAACAACGUCCCACCACCAUUUAAAGCUUCGUUCUGAGAACAAACAAAAACAUAACAAAAAUAAGUAACCUUUUAAGUGACUUGACUCAGAAGUUACUAACUUGUACCUUGUUCAGAGCAGCCAAGCUUAUGACUUUAACACCAAUCUUAUCAGCUCUCAGAAUCGCAGCCUCGAUCUGAUCAUUAAUCCCUUGUGUAGCAAACGGUAAGAAGUACUGCAAAACAGAGGAAAAUGCUCUGUAAAACACUCUGUUCUCUCUGUUUUCAAGGGGAGUUAGAAAGAAACAGAGACAUUACUUGGAAACCGAAUCUAGGAACUCCCCAAGUCUGGCAAAGAUUGUUUCUGAGGGUGUAGAAGCUGAAAAGAAAAGCCUUUGACCAAACCCACAUGCCCAACAUCACCAUGAAAGUGAACGGCCACAUGGGAAGCAAGAAGAGCCUCGUCGUGUAUGGCAUCGAAGCAAACGAUCUGAACACAAACGGUGCAUGCAUCGCCGACAUCACAUCUACCCCAUGAGCCAAGAACACAAACUCCGGCACCCUCUUCCGUUCCCCUGCACACAAAGAUCAAUUCAGUUUUUCAAAAAAAAGAAAGACAAAAACUGUAACUUUGUGGUCAAGGAAGGGGUACUAUUGUCUUUUCAAAUCUUUGGCUUUACAUCCUUGACUCUGACCACUCAUAAAUUGGCUUAACCUGUUUGGUAUUGCUGCCAAAUUUAUUCAACUAGUCUAGUACUCUCUGUCUAGACUCACUUUGUUUCAAAAAAGUAUUUAUUCUAAGAUUUUUUUUUCGUUUCAAAAAAGGUAACCUUCUAUAUUUCCAAUAUUAUUUUAAGUAUUUAUUUACUUUUAACCUUUUAAAUAAUCAAUAAAUUUAUAUUUAAAUUAUUUUCAUUUAAUUAAUUCUAUACUAAAAAUAUAUAUAUAUAAUUGUAUAUUUUGCAAUUUUCGUCAAUGUGACACUUUUGCAAACGGAAGGAGUAAUAGUUUCGGUAUAUUAUUACCUGAAGCCAAACGAAUCUUCUUUUGGAGUUCCCAUGAGUUUGAGUUAAGUGUGUUGCCCAAAACAUCAAAGAGAGGCAUAAACAGACAGAAGUUGGUCCCCAUUUCUUGAUGAUGCAGAGUAUGGUACCUGCAUGAUCCCCACCAAUUAAAUCAAACUUUUAAACAUUUUUUUAAAUUCAUCGCAAGUAAAAAUCAUAUUAUAUAUACAACUAGAAACUAUAGAAAUCUUUGCUUCUUAGAGUGAAAAUAUGACAAAGUCACGUUCGUGUGUGCCUUAAGUUGGGUCCUUAAGCAUAGGAUCCCUAAUUCAAUGAAUAAGUUAGAGAGCCUUUAUUGGAAAACUUAUGGUGUGUGGAGCCAAUAGAUCUCAUCUAACCAAAUCCACAAAAAAAAGUUAACAUGUGAAGUACUUUUCAGAAAGGGUAAUAAGAUACACGUUAACAACAUACGUUGGAGUGUAGAUGAGAUAACGUAGGAUUGGUAGAGUCUCGAAUAACUUGUGAGAGAAGAUUUCAACGUUGCAAUGUCCUAAACAUCUUAGGAAAUCAAACAUGAUAGCGUAUCCGUAGAUCAAGCUUCGGGGGUCAGAGAAGCCUCGUCAUCGGCUGCUUCGGAAGCCUUGUCGAUGAUCCUACGCCUCCAGGGAGAGAAAGCAGCGCUGGAGAUGGAGACUAGUCAGUACAAGAGGAUGGCGGAGGAGAAGAUGUGCCACGCGGAGACUUCUCUGACGCUCUUCGAGGAUCUGAUUUACAAUAAGGAGAUGGAGAUCGCUUCUCUCGAGUUUCAGGUUCAGGCUUACAGAUGCAAGCUGCUCAGCGUUGGGGUCUCUGAUCCAGCUGUCGUGGAGAACAAGUUCCCGCAAAAUCUCGUCUUCUUUGGUGAUACCUCUCGUGUAAAUCAAAAGAGGAAGAUGAAAUGAAAUCUAUCGGUAAAAGCUUUUAUGUCUUCAUGUUUUGAGACUUUGAGAGAUUGAGAGAUAAUGAGACAAAGUUCAAUAUAUUGUCUGUUGCAGAGUCCUUUCGAUGGCAUGAGCAGUGAGAGAAGAAGCCUGCUUCUGUCUGAUACUAAUGGUGACAGUUCUUUAUCUCCUGGUGAAGACUUGAGUGCUUAUUGGGAAGAGAUGAGGAGAAUAGACGAGCAUGUUCGAGAGAUUUCAGAUUCAAGAGAUGCCCCCAAGGAGUCUAAAUGGCCUUUGCUUAGGCGCAAGUCUAUGUCACAUGCGUUGGUUUCUCAAGUCAGCAAUACUAUCUUAAAGUCAGCCAAGAGUGAUGUCAGUUCGAUAAUGGAGAGGAUGAAGAAGAACCCUGAUAGAUUAUCUCCUGCAAAAGAUGCUUUGUCUCCGAAUCUCCAGGACAUCUUUAAGAUUCCGAGGACAAAGGAAAGCCUUACAAUCAUCUCGGAAGAAGAGGAACUGGAAGAAAGAAAUGUAAGUAUUGAGUGAACUAGUCUUUUGAUAAAAACAAAUUUGGUCAAAGUGCUGAUAAUGUGUAGAAGGAGUCACAGGUUAGAGGGAACAUGGAGAGUAGUAAUUACGAAAGGGAAUUGAGUAAGCCGCCGCCAAGCAUCAAGGAAGAACAUAUGAGUUUGUUAAAGGAGAUUAGAGAACAGCUCAAUGCAAUGCAGUCUGAGAUGAGAAGCUUAAGAUCAGAACUGCAUCAAACUCAACAUGUGUCUCAUCUGGAGGAGGAUCCAGCCCUUAACUCAAUUCAAGAGGUAAUCACUUCUCUUUCUACUUGGUGAGAGAUGUCUAAAUAAUAUUCAGAACUAAACAUUUUGUGUUGUUUCUUGAAACAGGCUAUGAUUCACUUCUGGCUUUAGAAGCUAUAAUGCCUGGGAGUGGUUCUAGUUUCCCAUAUACAGACCAUUUGUAUGUUACUUAAGGGAUGUAAAAAAAAAACUGAUAUGUAACUGCACUGGCAUUGUGAAAACAAAAUCUUUAAAUCUCUCAUGAAAGUAUCUAAAGUUGGUCCACAAAGGUUAAAGUUGGUCCACAGAGGUUAGGAUGUCAUGUUAGUUAGCGGAUGCACAAAAUGCAUGAAGGGUUAUCGAGAUCAAGAGUAGUGCCUCUCAAACACUUGAAGUGGUAGACAUGACCACAAGCCAGCACGCACGCUUCUUGUAAGCUGCGCAAAGAAGCAUUAGGUCGUUCUGGAUCAGAGGCUAGAUCUCUGUCGCAUAGAUCGCAUACGUGUCCAACUUCCUCAGCAGCAAACACCUUGUCAAGCUCUGCUUAAAAGGCCCCAAAAAAAUAUCAAACAUAAGAAAAAAGCAUAUAGCUCUCACUCAAGUAUUGAAUAGAUUAUUACCAUCGCGAAUCUGCGGUUUACUCGGAACCUGAGCAUUCACAGUCUUGUCGAGAAGAAGCUGGACCUCUUUAGAGAGCUUUUGAAGAUGAUGAGAUGAAGUGGAAGAAGAUGAUGAUGAUCCUGACGCUUUGAGCUCAGAAGUGGCUUUCUCAAUCUUCUCUUGAAGCUUCAGGAGCAUCUCUCUACUUCCAUCGUCUCCUUUUGAAUCCAUGUUUCGCACGCACAAGUCGACGAAACUUCUGUACUCGAAAACAGUCAAGCAAACAAUUAAAAAGAAAAAAACAAAGUCAAAUCUUGUUUGACUUGUAUAAUGCGAGAAGGCGCUAUUUGGUUGAAACUUGUGUAACAAGAUAUUACGUUUACGAAGCAAGAGUACAAUUAGGGUCCAAACCAAGGAACCCAAAGCGUCCGCCGUUAGAAUCCACAAAGCAAAAUCGUAACUUUACAGAUCGCAAUGAAGAAAUCAAUCAAACGACGUUUAUCAGAAAUCAAAAUCGAAAAAAAAAGAGAAGGAAAGAGUUGGACGAGAGAAAUCGAAGAACCUGUGUGGUGGUGUAUAUCAACGAACAGUGUUGAAAAGGGAGGGAUUAUGUUGCUGCUGCUGUUACUUUGGAGUGAAAUAUAUAUGUUUAAACAAGCUAUAAUCGACAACUCGUAUCUAUGUAUCUCCACAUAACUAAGCUUUUUUUUUAAUUAAGUGAUUAAGGAGACCGACACGUGGGCUGAAAACGUAGGCUGCUAACACGAGGCUAAUCUGGAUCCACAUGCUAGAAUAUCCAUGUAUAUUAAAAAAAAAGAUUAAGGGAUUACAAAAAAACAGAGUUCUCAUCAAUGUUCAAUCUAGGCAUGCCGGUCCGGUUUAUUCGGAUAGUACGGAUCGGUUAGUUCGGAACUCAGUUAGUUCAGAAUUAUGUUAGUUUGGGUUGGUCAAAAUUUCACCGAAAAAGUUUGGUUCUGUUUGGUCCGGUUAAUUUGGUCCUAAAUUAUUUAACCAAAGGUUUUUGUUUUGCGGUUAAUUCGGUUAAAUUUUCGGUUUAAAUUAAAAAAGUCAAAAAUGGUUAAUUUCUGUUAGUUGUUAUUUCGGUUUGUAUUUUGGUUAGGUUCGUUCGGUUAUUUCGAUUCAGAUUUUGGUUUAUUCGAUCAGUUCAGUUCGGAAUUUGGUUAAAAUUGGUACUUUUUAGAUUUUUUUUUAGAAAACUGAACUUACCGAUUAUCGAACCAAAUAUAAGAAUUUUUUUUUUAUCGAACUAAGAGAAAACCAAACUUUUUGGUUCGGUAAGUUUGGUUUGAUUAAAGUUCCCAGCCCUAGUUCAAUUGUUAAGAAGAUGUUAGUCACUUUAUAUGAGAUUACUAAUUAGGCGGAUGUCUAAACUGAUUUUUGAGUCGGCGAAGAAAAUAAUAUUUCAUUUUGGUUUGAUUUGCCGGCGAACGCAUGCGUACAGCAUUUACCGAAUUUAACCUUUGUUUUCUUAUGAAUUUUUUUUUUAAAUUAGUAUGAGCUUAAGAGUUUGCCUGGUUGUAUGCACUUUAUUGGGCUUUUCAUAAGCCCCAGAAUUUCAUUAAACUAGUUUUUUUGUAAUUAAUUUGUUUAACCAGGUUGAAAAUCUGAUCAAGCUUCAGAAAACAAAUUUAGACAGACAAUUUUUUAAAAAAAUUAAUGUUUAUGGACGACUGGUUCGGCUGUCCUAAAAUAGUAAGAAAUAUGUUUUCCUCCUAUUUGUAGACUACAAGUUAAAAACACUUGGUUUUUUUUUUGGAUUUUGUAAUUUACUACAAAUAUCCAUCAAACUCGAUCUUGUAAUAUUCCGCAUUUUUGGGCUAAUAAUCUCCAUGAAUAUAAAGGGUUCUUCUACCUUCAAUUCUAAUAAUUCACACACACACACACAAACAAAAGACUAGACUUUUGGAUAAUUGAGAGCUUAAUGACCAAAAAUAACAAAAUUCUCGGACAGGAUCAGCUGUUGUACUUAAUCAAAGUAUCCUUAAUUAUCUCCAACUUACAUUUGACUGUAAAACCCACCACACAUUCACUCACUCACUUAAACACCUAUACUUUAUAAUCUUCCUCCUUUCCAUAUAUGCAUUCCUCAUAUCAAACUUAACACCUCCAUAGAGACUUUUUUUAUAACUCUCUUCAUGGCUGAUAAUGUCCAAGUAGUACCUAUUGAGGAACCAGCCUCGACCGCAACCGCCACAGCCACCGCAACAACCAAUGAGCCAGAAACCAAAAGCUCCGAUCAAAUGGAGUCACAAAGCGACAAGCCACCCGUUGGAAUGUUGGUCACAAUCGUAAACCUUUGCGCCAUAGGUGUUCUUCCCAUCUUCACCUUCUUUCUUUCUCUCACACUCCUUGGCUACGCUGUGUGGCUCCUCUACAUGCGCAGCUACGAAUGCGAAGACAUCCUCGGUCUCCCACGUGUCCAGACGCUCGCUAGCGUCGGCCUCCUUGCCGUGUUCGUCGUCAGCAACGCGGCUCUCUUUCUCCGAAGGAAGUUUCCUAUGCCCGCACUCGUGGUGAUGGUGGUGAUUCUUUUGCUGAUGAUGUUCAUGGGUUUGGCGUACGCAGGAGUCAAUGAGAUGCAGAGCAGGCGGUUUCCGGCUACUGCGAGGUGGUUCAAGCUCAAAGUGAUGGAUGAUGUUAAUUGGAACAAUAUCAAAUCGUGUGUCUACGAUAAAGGAGCUUGCAACGAGCUUUUUUACCAAUAUCCUAAAGAGAAACCUUACAAUAGAAGAAAAAUGCCACCAAUAAAGGUUUGUUCAUGAUAGAUAUAUACAUACUUUGAUCUCAUAAAGUGCAACUGGUUCAUUCUAACAUGAUACCUAGGCCUGGGAAUUUUUCUUUUCUAGUCGAACCAAACAUAAAAUUUCGGUUUUCGAUUCAGUUUUGGUUAGGAUUUUGAUUCAAUUUGGUAGAUUAAAAAAUGGUUAUUGGUUUGGUUUGGCAAUGGGUUACUUUGAUUUUUCAUUUUUUUCACAAAAAAAUACAACCAAACCAUAUUAAUUAUAACCAAGAAUCCUAACCAAACUAACUGAAUUAACCGAAUCUAACUGAAAUAAAAAACUUCUGUUAAGUUUGAUAAAAAAAAUUAAAAACUGAUAUAACCAAAUACCAACCAAACCGUGCUAAUUCGGCAAAUUGAGGCUAAACCGAACAUGAAAACGUUACAUAUGCACAUGACGUUUUGUGAAACAUUUGUCCAAGAUUUUCAAAUAGUUUGAGACGACUAUUUUCCAUCUUUAAGCAUAUAUAUUAGUUUACAAAAGCUGUUUUGAUUUUUGUUGUUGUUGCAGAAUGGAUGUUGUAUGCCGCCGGAGACAUGUAACAUGGAUGCUUUAAAUGCGACGUUUUGGUAUAGAAGAAAAGACGAGGGUCCACCGUUGGAGACAGAGGUGUUGUAUGGUGGGAUGGGCGGAAUACUAAGCGACUGUGAGUUAUGGAGGAACGAUUGGAGCAUAAUGUGCUAUGAUUGUAGAUCUUGCAAGUUCGGAUUCAUAAGAUCUCUAAGAAGGAAAUGGUGGCAGCUUGGUGUCUUUUUGGUUGUCAUCUCUAUUCUUCUUCUCAUCUCUCACCUCUUGAUCUUCUUGGCCACCUUUUGGGAAAGAUUCAAGGGUCAAUAAUCAUCAUGGAGGUGGAGAUUUCUAUGUGGUAAAAUAAUUCAUUUGUUCUGUAUUCAUUUUAGUACUCAAGCAGGUGUUCCUUCAAGCAGAUCUUUAGCUCUUCAUCCUUUCUCUCUGUCUCUUUCUCUUUGUUCGGUUUAGUGUAAAGAAUGUGUUUGAAAUAAAGUACAAACAAUUGGUUUGAUUCAGAACUCAAAAAGAAGUUCUUGAGUCAAUUGCUGAAUCUUUGAAGCACAGGACUUGAAGGUUAGAACUUAAAAGCGUCAUUGGUCGUAUAUAACACUGGUUGUAUAUAACACGGAUGAGAAGGUCUAAUAUUUUGCAUGUGCAUGUGAAUGCAGCAAAUGUGGUAAACCAUGUUAAAUUUCUGUGUUGUUUUGCAUUUAUUCAUAUGUUUCCGCACAAUUUUCUCCCAUCCUUUAUACUUCUUCCGUUUUUAAUAGAUGAUGUUUUAGUAGAAAUUUUUUACUCUAAAUUAGAUAACAUUUUAGUUUUCAAUGUAAAAUUUAUAAACCUUUUAUAUUAUAUGACUAUCUGUACACUACAAGAAAUAUUACCAUUCUUAGCUCACGAUAAAUGUUAUAGUAGGCCUUUCAUAGCGUUUUAUGAUCUGCUAUGUUAUCGGCAGCCAUCAUAGGUAUCCCCUCUACGAUAACAUUUUUUUAACGCUACGAAAUAUGACGAUACGAUAGCAAUACAUGAAUGAUAUUAUUAACUUAAACUAUAUCAUAUGAUUCUUGCUAUGAUGUAUUGACGAUGACAUUGAUAUAAUGCUAUAAUUAGAAAUAAAAUAAUUAAAAAUUAAUUUGAUCAUUUUAUUAUUUAAUUAAAAUUAAUUAAUUACAAAUUAAAUAAAAAUUAAAUAUAAUUAAAAUAAAAUUUUAUUUAUUAAUUAAAAUCAGUUUACAAUAAAAUCAGUUUUACAAAACUAAACCAAAAUUAAAAAGUAAAGUAAACCAGAACAAAUUAAACCAUACACUAACUAAAACACAUUAAACCAAAACCUAAUUAACCUAAACCUAAGCAGCCGCCCACCACCUCGUCUCAUCUGCUACGACUUGCUUCCGCGUCUCGGCGCCUCCUUGUGCUUCAUGCCUCAGCCUCAAAUCACCUUUUUCUGAACCGCAUCUACCUCUGCCUCCGUGUCUGGUUUGUCACUACCACCAUCUCCACUGCAUCGUCUUCUUCCUCUGUCAUCUCCGUACCACCUCCGCUGUAUCUUCCUUCUUCACGACGUCGUCUCCUUUCACGCUUUCAUCUUCGUCACCAAACCGGAGGACAAGGCUUCGCGGAGAAGGCGGUCGGAGGAGGAGAACGGAGGAAGCUUCACGGAGAAAGGGUCAGGGAGGAGAAGGAGCCAUUCGGAUAGGAGGAGAGGAGGAGCGUAUAGGAGUGAUGUGUAUUUGGAUCUCCUGUGUAUUUGCAGAUUGAUGUGGAGAAGAAAGACUGUGGUGGUGAGUUCUCGAUGGAAAAGAAAGAAGAAGAUAAGAGUUGGCCAGUGAGAAAAGAAAAAGAAAUCAUAAAUGAAUGUUUGUGAACCAUUGGAUUAAAAAUCAAUGGUCAAAAAUAACAAUCCUUCUUGUGCAAGAUCUACCAAUGAGAAAAGAG